rnacentral:rRNA from 1 species
CUUAUGUUAUUUUAUAGAUGUWGGAUAUUUAUAUAAGAGGCUAAAAAAUUUUAAAAAUAGACUAGGAUUAGAUACCCUAUUAUUUUAAAAUAUAAGUAAUAUACUAGAUUAUUAUAAGUUAGUUACUUUAAAUUUAAAAAAUUUGGCGGUAGUUUWGUCUAUUCAGAGGAACCUGUUUUUAAAUCGAUACACCACGUAAAAUUUUACUUGUUUUGUAUGGUUUGUAUACCAUCAUUGUUAGAUAAUUUUUAAAGAAAAAUAAAUUAUUGCAAGCAGUUUAUCUGAAAAAAUUAGAUCAAGGUGCAGCUUAUAAAUAAGUUAAAAUGGGUUACAAUAAAUUUAUAUUUAGACGAAAUAAUAUUAAAAAGAAUAAAAUUAGGAAGGUGGAUUUGAUUGUAAUCUAAGGUUUAGUAAGAUUWGGAGAAA